AACGAACGCUGGCGGCAGGCUUAACACAUGCAAGUCGAACGGUAGCACAGAGAGCUUGCUCUCGGGUGACGAGUGGCGGACGGGUGAGUAACGUCUGGGAAACUGCCCGAUGGAGGGGGAUAACUACUGGAAACGGUAGCUAAUACCGCAUAACGUCGCAAGACCAAAGUGGGGGACCUUCGGGCCUCACACCAUCGGAUGUGCCCAGAUGGGAUUAGCUAGUAGGUGGGGUAAUGGCUCACCUAGGCGACGAUCCCUAGCUGGUCUGAGAGGAUGACCAGCCACACUGGAACUGGGACACGGUCCAGACUCCUACGGGAGGCAGCAGUGGGGAAUAUUGCACAAUGGGCGCAAGCCUGAUGCAGCCAUGCCGCGUGUAUGAAGAAGGCCUUCGGGUUGUAAAGUACUUUCAGCGGGGAGGAAGGCGGUGAAGUUAAUAACUUCACCGAUUGACGUUACCCGCAGAAGAAGCACCGGCUAACUCCGUGCCAGCAGCCGCCGUAA
rnacentral:rRNA from 1 species